CACGUGGGCAACCUGCCUGUAAGUUGGGGAUAACUCCGGGAAACCGGGGCUAAUACCGAAUGAUAAAGUGUGGCGCAUGCCACGCUUUUGAAAGAUGGUUUCGGCUAUCGCUUACAGAUGGGCCCGCGGUGCAUUAGCUAGUUGGUAGGGUAAUGGCCUACCAAGGCAACGAUGCAUAGCCGACCUGAGAGGGUGAUCGGCCACACUGGGACUGAGACACGGCCCAGACUCCUACGGGAGGCAGCAGUAGGGAAUCUUCCGCAAUGGACGAAAGUCUGACGGAGCAACGCCGCGUGUAUGAAGAAGGUUUUCGGAUCGUAAAGUACUGUUGUUAGAGAAGAACAAGGAUAAGAGUAACUGCUUGUCCCUUGACGGUAUCUAACCAGAAAGCCACGGCUAACUACGUGCCAGCAGCCGCGGUAAUAC
rnacentral:rRNA from 1 species